UGUUUUAAUAAUUUUCCACAAUUUCCAUUUCUCAAAUGUGAACUUUUAUCGGGCAACAGCGGGAUGUUUGAACAUUAUUUCAUGUGUUACGUUGAUGUGUUAUGUUGAUUUGUUGUAUUUGGAGCUGUUAUUAAAUCAGUGAGCCAAACACGUACUAAUAAAACAAUGAAAAGCACUGUCACUGUUGUGUUUCUUAAGAGGUUGUGUUUUUCAGCAGAACACAGAACCAGACAAAGAAAUGCCCCAAAGAUCUCCAUUACCAAAUUGAGAAACACUCCUUGUGGUAAAUUUAACACUGAGGGGUGCGGGCAAAUGGAAUACAAUUUGCGGAGGAUUGGGACCAGGCUGUCGGAGGAUGAGAUUAAUUGUUGCCUAUUUUGAAAGACUGUUUAUUAGACAAUAACGAGGAAAAAGGGUAGUUUGGGUAGGUUUAACUUGGAUUUCUUUUUUAUGCCUUGUUGCAGGUUUAUAUCUGCUUAUUAAUAGUGAGGGUUGACUCAUAGUUUUAUUUAUUGCAUCGCUCAUGAUUAAGUCAAGUCAUAUUUAUUUGUGUAGCUCUUAAUCACAGAAAAGUCUCUUUGGGCCUCCUAUGCCUAUAGUUCACAAAUAUUAACGAUACUGUAGCCCCUGAUUUAACCCCCAACAGGGCGAGGAAAUACCUUAAAAUUUUGACAAGACAAGGAUUCCUUUUAUUUUAAAAUAAAGAAUUUAGAACGUUUUCGGAGUUGGAAUGAGACGAACGGGUUUUAAAUUGAAACGGUUUGAAUAUGUCAAAAAAAUGUAGAAAUUAGAAGUAAGCCACCAAGUUACUUUGGCGAGGGGAAUUGGUGGGUGCGGUGCAGACACCAGAGAAUGACCAAUUCAGUAGACAAUGGCGUAAUAUAAACCCAAUUCCAAUGACGUUGAUUUGCAAAUCAUGUUUAACCUAUAUUUAACAGAGUACACUACAAAGACAUAUUUUUGGGCAGUAUGCUUUGGUGCAGCUGGAUUGAUGGCUGCUGGAUGACGAGAGAGGAGCGUCGGCGUGGGGCACGGAUGCAUAUUUGGAACUGAAAGUCACCACUUGGAAUUUAAGGCAAUUUACAUGGCACAGGAAAAAAACAAUCUUGAAGUCUGUAUUCUGCUCAUAUUUAGUCAUUCUGUAUAAUCUUACCAUGCCCACAGCGUAGCUCGGCGUCCUUGUAACCAUCAUCUCCUAGAAUUGGACUACUCUUGUAUUAUUCAUCUCUUCUUAGUUAGGUUUGAUGGUUAAGGUGUUAUUUCUCUGUUAGUUGUGUUUGUUCAGACACUUGAAAGAAACAAUGUAGAAUGCUGUUAGGUAUUUCCUGCUCACCGUUUUUACAAUCACCUUUAGUGCCCCUCGACCCCCACCACUUUAGGGCCCCCCUCCACAGGACAUGUUUAACAUCAAAAGAGGAACUGUUAUCUCAAGUAUCUGUGUUCCUGCCAUCACACCAAAUGGUGGGUAGUGGUCUGGUCUCACCUCACCGCUCCCAACUUCUUCCAGCCACACCGGGAGCCCGAAUCGAUUCGUAAACUGCAGAAAAUUAAAGUAAACCCUUCGAAGGAACUGUU